rnacentral:rRNA from 1 species
CCUACGGGAGGCAGCAGUGAGGAAUAUUGGUCAAUGGGCUUACGCCUGAACCAGCCAAGUCGCGUGAGGGAAGACUGCCCUAUGGUUUGUAAACCUCUUUUGUCAGGGAGCAACGCCGGCUACGUGUAGCCGGACUGAGAGUACCUUAAGAAAAAGCAUCGGCUAACUCCGUGCCAGCAGCCGCGGUAAUACGUAGGGGGCAAGCGUUAUCCGGAUUUACUGGGUGUAAAGGGAGCGUAGACGGCUGUACAAGUCUGAAGUGAAAGCCCGUGGCUCAACCGCGGAACUGCUUUGGAAACUGUAAAGCUGGAGUACUGGAGAGGCAGGCGGAAUUCCUAGUGUAGCGGUGAAAUGCGUAGAUAUUAGGAGGAACACCAGUGGCGAAGGCGGCCUGCUGGACAGAAACUGACGUUGAGGCUCGAAAGCGUGGGGAGCAAACAGGAUUAGAUACCCCUGUAGUC